rnacentral:rRNA from 1 species
CGGACGGGUGAGUAAUGUCUGGGAAACUGCCUGAUGGAGGGGGAUAACUACUGGAAACGGUAGCUAAUACCGCAUAACGUCGCAAGACCAAAGAGGGGGACCUUAGGGCCUCUUGCCAUCGGAUGUGCCCAGAUGGGAUUAGCUAGUAGGUGGGGUAACGGCCCACCUAGGCGACGAUCCCUAGCUGGUCUGAGAGGAUGACCAGCCACACUGGAACUGAGACACGGUCCAG